rnacentral:rRNA from 1 species
UACGAAGGGUGCAACCGUUAUUCGGAUUAAUUGGGCGUACAGGGUGCGCAGGCGGUAUGUUAAGUCAACUGUUAAAUCUCCCAGCCUAACUGGGAAUCAGCGGUAGAUACUGGCAUGCUAGAGGGUGGAAGAGAGAAGUGGAAUUCUUGGAGUAGCGGUAAAAUGCGUAGAUCUCAAGAGGAACACCGAUGGCGAAGGCAGCUUCUUGGUCCACAUCUGACGCUCAUGCACGAAAGCGUGGGGAGCAAACAGG